rnacentral:lncRNA from 10 species
GCGAGAAUCACGUGGGGGCUCUGAGGUCAUUGUAGCCAUCCCCCUGCCUCCUCAGGGCAGGAGGGUGCUAGGAUCAGACCCAGAAAGGGACAGGGGCAGGACAUUCCUCCUCUUUUCAAGCAUUCACAAGAAGCAGAGUUCCAUGGUGGUCUAGGAGGGGGUCCUUUGUAAGAUCUAGUCUUCCUCCUUCUGCUGUGUGAGGACCACAGUAUGUGGCUAGGACGAGGUGGGCGGUACGCUGUCUUCCGUCUCUCAGCUGCUCUCAGGGACCUUCGCUUCAAUCCUGUCUCCAGGCUCUGCCUCUGACCCCUGCCUCCCCCUCGCUUUGCUUCCCUGCCCCCCAGGGUCCUGGGUCUCCAGCUGCCCCAGUUGAACAGGGGGCUGUCCCCUGCGGCUCUCAAGGCGUUCCGGGGCUAGUUCCUCCUCCCCCACAAGCUGGCACAUGUGGAUAUUGGCUCUGUUUUGCCUUUGACCCCUAGUGAAAGAAAAUACUGAGACGGAGUCUCGCUCUGUCGCCCAGGUUGGAGUGAAGCGGCUAGAUCUCAGCUCACUGCAACCUCUGCCUCCCAGGUUUAAGCAAUUCUCCUGUCUCAGCCUCCAGAGUAGCUGGGACUACAGGCGCAUGCCACCAUGCCCUACUAAUUUUUUGUAUUUUUAGGAGAGACAGGCCUUCACCAUGUUGGUCAAGCUGGUCUCGAACUCCUGACCUCAGGUGACCCACCGGCUUCAGCCUCCCAAAGUGCUGGGAUUACAGGCAUGAGCCACCGCGCCCAGCCUCAUAUCUAUCUUUAUCACUCCAUUUCAGAUCUUCUUCCAUAUAUGGCUCUGUGUGUCUCCUGUCCUUCCCUGUCUCCUCACUGCUUUUCAGCUGGUAGACCCCUGUGGGGACAACAGAUCAGAGCUUGGUCACCAAUAUGGACAUCUAGGUCUGAGCAGGGCCCACUCCCCGGGGGCGCAUCAGCUCCAUCCCGGCACCCUUUACACUGGCCUUCUCUUCACAAAGGACCACAGGUCAUCCUCAAGCCUUCCUCCCAGGCUAUCCUUGUCCCUGAAUACUAAUGUCUAAAGGUCAGCCCAGCUACCAGCAGUGUGCAUGUGAUGUGUCCCAUCUCCCCUUCGGAUUGGAGGAAGAAGCUGUGUCCCUCCCAUCAGACAGACGGUCUCCUUAAAGAUUCUCCUGGUCUCCAGCUUGGGCUCUGCUGGAAAGAAGAGGAAGUAUUUAGCAAGGGUGAAGAUGGGUUCUUACUUCCCUGAGGCAACCAGAGAUAAGAAAAGACCAGAAUAUGAAUAUCCAGCAUUCCACAAAGAAUCCUACAGGCAGGGAUAUUGCCCAAUCACCAGUGCCUCGCAUCCCAGUUCUAUCCAAGAUCCAAGCUUGAUAUCCUCCUGAAAGACUUCCUGAAUCAGGUCACCAACAUGGACAUCUGAACUUCCAGAAUCAGGUCACCGUCUUUCUUCUCAUCUCUGGAUGUAUUUGGAGCUCAUUUGUCUGACGGUUUUUGAAUGCUAUCUUUUAAAAAUAAACUUUUACAAUUUGGGUUUAAUAAUUCUAGAUUUAUAGAAAAGUUGAAAAGAAAGUACAGAAAGUUCCCAUAUAUCCCUUAUCCAGUUCUCUUAAUGUUAACCUCCUACAUCAUCAUGGAACAUUUGCCAAAAUGAAGAUGUCAACACUGGUGCUUUGCUGUGAACUAAACUCCAGACUUUAUUCGGAUUUCAUGAAUUUUUCUCCUAAGGUCCCUUUUCCGUUCCGGCAUUCCACCCAGGAUAUCACAUUGCAUUUGGUGUUUGUGUCUCCUUGGUCUCCUCUGGUUCUUGAGAGUUUCUCAGUCUCUCCUUGUUUUUCGUGACUGAAGUUUCAAGGAGUACUGGUCAGGUAUUCCAUAGAAUGUCCUACUGUUAGCUUUCAGCAGUAAAAGCCUUUCCACAAACAAAACCUUCUGCAGAGUCCUAAUCUGUGAACAGACAAGAAUGGAGUUGCCAUGGUCACAGCAGUGAUGAGAAAUGAUCCCCUGAAUAUGAAUCUCCAUGAAACCCCCCGAGAAUUAUAAGAAACCCCCAGGAUACCAUGGAACCAAGUUUGAAAACCAUUAAUUUAGGCCAAGCUCUGUUCAGUACUUGGUUUUGAGCUAUAAAACCCUAGACAGGGAAUUAUAAACUAGAUCUUAGAUCUUACAUACUUCUGGUGACAGGGCCACCACAGUUUUUUUG